GAGCAACGCCGCGUGAACGAAGAAGGCCUUCGGGUCGUAAAGUUCUGUUGUUAGGGAAGAACAAGUACCAGAGUAACUGCUGGUACCUUGACGGUACCUAACCAGAAAGCCACGGCUAACUACGUGCCAGCAGCCGCGGUAAUACGUAGGUGGCAAGCGUUGUCCGGAAUUAUUGGGCGUAAAGCGCGCGCAGGUGGUUCUUUAAGUCUGAUGUGAAAGCCCACGGCUCAACCGUGGAGGGUCAUUGGAAACUGGGGAACUUGAGUGCAGAAGAGGAAAGUGGAAUUCCAAGUGUAGCGGUGAAAUGCGUAGAGAUUUGGAGGAACACCAGUGGCGAAGGCGACUUUCUGGUCUGUAACUGACACUGAGGCGCGAAAGCGUGGGGAGCAAACAGGAUUAGAUACCCUGGUAGUCCACGCCGUAAACGAUGAGUGCUAAGUGUUAGAGGGUUUCCGCCCUUUAGUGCUGCAGCUAACGCAUUAAGCA
rnacentral:rRNA from 1 species